rnacentral:lncRNA from 1 species
UUUUUUUUUUUUUUUUUUUUUUUUUUUUUUUGCUUUUUAGGGCCAUACUCUUGCCAUAUGGAGGUUCCCAGACUGGGGUCAAAUCGGACCUGUAGCCGCCAGCUUACACCACAGCCACAGCAAUGUGGAAUCCGAGUUGCAUCUGCAGGCUACACCACAGCUCAUGGAAACGCCAGAUCCUUAACCCACUGAGCAAGGCCAGGGAUCAAACCUUCACCCUCAUGGAUGCUAGUCAGAUUCAUUUCUGCUGAGCCAUGACAAGAACUCCAGGCCAUAUUUCUAAUACAGUUCUUGUCCUGUCAUUCCAUCAGUGGCCCACUUAGUUUUACUUUCCCUUAAGCUCUUGUGGUGUUUUCCUUGUAGGUUUGGAUACUGGGUAAUCCAGAGCCAAGUUGGAGUCCUCUCAGAGCCCCAUGUUUUCACCAGUAGAGUCUCACUCGUCCUUGAUCCUAAUUUUUCUGUUGUCUUUGACUGACCCACUGUUGGGCUGCAGCAAGUCCACUUCAAAUCUUUUGUGAAACAGAGGAAGGUCAUCAUGACAUUUUCAUAUGCAAAAUCCCCUUCGUGGGUUUGAGAAGUAAUGCUUGGAGACACUUUAAGCACUCAUUCAUUACUUGGAGAUGUUUGUAAAUUGGUUAAUAUGUAUAAGAAUGGGAACUGAUGGUUAGGGGGUCAAGGCCUUAAUCCUGGGUGGGGAAAACAUGGAGCCUCCCUUGCUGGCUCCAAGCUGGUGGAAAUCAGAAUUCCAUGUCUCCUGGCCACAGACCGCCCUGGCAUCAUCAGCCACCAGGAAGAGUUGCUGUCCUAACUAGGGCAGCCCAGAUACAGCACUCUCACCUUGGCGGGAAAACACAUUUAGUAUAUGUAUGACUGGGUCACUUUGCUGUACAGCAGAAAUUGACAACAUUGCAAAUCAACUAUAUUUUUUAAAAAUUUUUAAAAAGAAAGAAAACACACUUAGGUGCUGUACACAAACUGCGUCGGACGAGGCUACACUGGCUGUGGAAAGCUCCUCCCCUAUGGGAACUCUUAUUGCGGCUUGGUCAGUGCACGAUGCCUCAAGAGUUCCUAACUUGGCAUUGAGGUCUGGAGGGUGUAGAACUGUGGGUCUGGACAGACCAUCCUGGCCUGAGACUAUCUGGUGAUUUGUCAAAACCUCACUGGAUGCAGAAGAACCAUGAGUUUAUGAGUGGAUGGCCAGGGACAUAGAGAGAGGCACAAUCUCCUACCACAUAAAUUCAGUGGGACCUUAAACAAGUGGAAAGAAUGAUGCCAGGAAUGGCUGGUGCUCCUGCAGAAGGACUGGGCGGGAUGGCCAAGCUCUACAUCAGGAGGGAAACAGGCCAAAAAGAAAAGCAGCUCAAAAAGCUUAGUUUUAAGAGUGUCUAGAUUUCUGCUCUAUCUGGCUUAGAAGGAGGCAAGUCCAGCUUUUAUACAAACAGCCAUAGCCGGCUGUCCACUUUGAACACAAAGCCUUAAUUUAUAUGUGGGGACACAGCAUGGGUCCUCUCAAGAGCAAGCCCUGCUGAUGCAUUUGUUUUCUAAAUAUUUGUGUUGCAGUUGUCCUGGAGAAAGAUGAUGAUAGCUUGCUCCAAGACAGUGGCCAGGGGAUGGAGCAAAAUCAUGGGGGAGACGAGGGAUGUCGAUAAGGAUAUAGAACCCACGGCACUUGGCAACUCAGAGGUGAGGAGUGAGGGAGACAGCAAGCCUGACAUCCACACCUCCAAGACUGGCAGUCAUCAUUCAUGGAUACUCAGGGACAGCUUUUCAGACAGGCUGCUCAAGCAGCAGUGUGUGGGGCAGGGCCUGGGCCUCCCUCCCUUGCCUCUUCCUCUCCCGUUUCUCUUGUCCCAGGGCCCCUGAUCCCACCCCAUCUGUGCUUCUCUCAUGGGAGGCUUCCUACCCACCUGUGCAGCAAUCCUCAGGUCUCAGAGCAAUCCUCAGAGCUGCAGGUGGGUAGUGUCGUGUGUGAGUGAGAGACACACACAGAGAGAGAAGCAGGGUAUACUCCCUCAAACUCUUUCCGCUUCUCCUGCC